rnacentral:lncRNA from 1 species
GCUGGGUGAAUGAUUGAGCAAAAUGUUUGCCAUGAGAAUAGAAAAAUUUCUGAAAACCACUUGCCCAUGAUUCUAUCCUACAUGAAAAUUAUGCAAACUCUCCCAAAAGGGAUAAAUCCAUGACAAAUAGAAGAGCACAAAGGCAAUGGAUACAACACCCAUUGAGAAGAAAUGGAUUUCUCCCAAAAUGUGAACAGAAGGCCAGCAGCAGGUUGCCAACUAUGAAAGGGGAGAGUAGAUUAUUUGGACAUUUUACUCUCAAAAGUUGUUCUAUUUGCUGAAAGAGGCUGGGACUGCUACCAAGCAGAAAGACAACUGAAUAAAUUUGGUAGCAGAAUAGGAAGGAACAAAUACAUGAGCGUACUCGGAAUGAGAGAAGACAGCAGCAGGUAACAGAAGGUGGUUAAGUAAUGAAAUUUUUAGCAGCACAUGCCCACACCGUGGCCCCUUCCUGAUUCCUGUAAUGUACAUGUGGAAUCGACUGUGUAGAAGAGAAACUUCAGAGAUGCAUUGGUGUCAAUCAGGCACAUCCCUGGACCAGACUAUAUAUCCAAUUAAAGAUGUAUUGAGGACUAUCUCUCACACAUAUUGCCUGGCUAUGGGCCCUACCUUUGAGGAUGUGAUGUCUUUGGUGCCACAGACAUGCAUAAUCAGUGGACACAGAGAAAGCAUGAGUGAUUCAAAUGGACAUGGAAACAAGAACUGGAAAUUGGACGUCUGGUAUUCUCAUGGAUGGCUUGCAGGACUUCCUUAUGGGAUUUGGGUACGAAGGCUUUAUGUACAAGGACCUGUCUUAGAGGAAGAAGCUGAUGAGGAACUUCUCAGUUUUUCUGGGCUCACCAGGUCUCCUCAGGUUCAAUGA